GGUGACCUGCAUCCCAGAAUGUUUCCCUGCUCUCUGCUUGCCUUAUUCCUGAGUGCCCUGCCCAUCACCAACACCACGGAGCUAGAGAAUCCAAACAAAAAGAUGGGAACCCCAAGGUUGGAGCAACCAGGGGACGUGAUCAUUGGAGGCAUCUUUCCGAUUUACAUGACAGAGCCUUCAUCGCCAUUGAAUUUCACCUCUGGACCCAUUAAAUUGCAGGUCCUUCUAGUUGUGGGAUGUGGGACGCCGCCUCAACGUGGCCUGACGAGCGGUGCCAUGUCCGCGCCCAGGAUCCGAACCCCAGGCCGCAGCAGUGGAGCAUGCGAACUUAACCACUCGGCCAUGGAGCCUGGCCCCGCUUUUCUCUUUUAACAUUAGCUUUUCAUUUUACAGAAAAGAUUUGGAAAGUGGGAUUGAUGGGCCAAUAUGAACAUGUAUUUUUUUAACAUGAAUUUUUUGUAUUAAUAAAAAUUGCAGAUUACUUUCCACAAAUC
rnacentral:lncRNA from 1 species